GAUCAUGGCUCAGAUUGAACGCUGGCGGCAGGCCUAACAUAUGCAAGUCGAACGGUAACAGGAAGCAGCUUGCUGCUUUGCUGACGAGUGGCGGACGGGUGAGUAAUGUCUGGGAAACUGCCUGAUGGAGGGGGAUAACUACUGGAAACGGUAGCUAAUACCGCAUAACGUCGCAAGACCAAAGAGGGGGACCUUCGGGCCUCUUGCCAUCGGAUGUGCCCAGAUGGGAUUAGCUUGG
rnacentral:rRNA from 1 species